CGGGCCGGACAGCCGCGGACGCACGCCGAAAGGCGGCGGAUGAGGAAAGUCCGGGCUCCGCAGGGCAGGGAUAACGGGUAACGCCCGCCGGGGGUGACCCCAGGACAAGUGCAACAGAGAGAUACCGCUGCCGCCGUUCCUUCGGGAAAGGCAGCAGUAAGGGUGAAAAGGUGCGGCAAGAGCGCACCCGGCCCAUGGCAACAUGGGUUCUACGAUGUAAACUCUAUCCCGGAGCAACGCCGUGGAGGGACACGCGAUCGGCCCGAUCGUCCCGAGGAGGCGGCUUGAUCCCACGGGCGACCGUGGGGCUAGAUAGAUGGCUGUCAAGACAGAACCCGGCUUACAGGCCCGC
rnacentral:RNase_P_RNA from 1 species